rnacentral:rRNA from 1 species
AACGUAGGACGCAAGCGUUAUCCGGAGUUACUGGGCGUAAAGCGCGGGCAGGCGGCUCGUGAAGUCUGAUGUGAAAGCGCCCCGGCUCAACCGGGCGAGGCCAUUGGAAACUCUCGAGCUGGAGGGCAGUAGAGGCAGGCGGAAUUCCGGGUGGAGUGGUGAAAUGCGUAGAGAUCCGGAGGAACACCAGAGGCGAAGGCGGCCUGCUGGGCUGCACCUGACGCUGGAGCCGCGAAAGCCAGGGGAGCGAACGGGG